rnacentral:rRNA from 1 species
GACGAACGCUGGCGGCGUGCCUAAUACAUGCAAGUAGAACGCUGAAGAGAGGAGCUUGCUCUUCUUGGAUGAGUUGCGAACGGGUGAGUAACGCGUAGGUAACCUGCCUGGUAGCGGGGGAUAACUAUUGGAAACGAUAGCUAAUACCGCAUAAAAUUGAUUAUUGCAUGAUAAUUAAUUGAAAGAUGCAACUGCAUCACUACCAGAUGGACCUGCGUUGUAUUAGCUAGUUGGUGAGGUAACGGCUCACCAAGGCGACGAUACAUAGCCGACCUGAGAGGGUGAUCGGCCACACUGGGACUGAGACACGGCCCAGACUCCUUCGGGAGGCAGCAGUAGGGAAUCUUCGGCAAUGGGGGGAACCCUGACCGAGCAACGCCGCGUGAGUGAAGAAGGUUUUCGGAUCGUAAAGCUCUGUUGUAAGAGAAGAACGGGUGUGAGAGUGGAAAGUUCACACUGUGACGGUAUCUUACCAGAAGGGGACGGCUAACUACGUG